rnacentral:rRNA from 1 species
UUCCAGACUCCUACGGGAGGCAGCAGUGGGGAAUAUUGCACAAUGGGGGAAACCCUGAUGCAGCGACGCCGCGUGAGUGAAGAAGUAUUUCGGUAUGUAAAGCUCUAUCAGCAGGGAAGAAAAUGACGGUACCUGAUUAAGAAGCCCCGGCUAACUACGUGCCAGCAGCCGCGGUAAUACGUAGGGGGCAAGCGUUAUCCGGAUUUACUGGGUGUAAAGGGUGCGCAGGCGGCACGGCAAGCCGGCGGUCAAAUCGCGGGGCUCAACCCCGCCCAGCCGUCGGAACUGCCGGGCUAGAGUGGGCGAGAAGUGCGCGGAAUGCGUGGUGUAGCGGUGAAAUGCAUAGAUAUCGCGCAGAACUCCGAUUGCGAAGGCAGCAUGCCGGCGCCACACUGACGCUGAGGCACGAAAGCGUGGGUAUCGAACAGGAUUAGAUACCCCGGUAAC